rnacentral:rRNA from 1 species
GACGAACGCUGGCGGCGUGCUUAACACAUGCAAGUCGAACGGAAAGGCCCCUUUGGGGGUACUCGAGUGGCGAACGGGUGAGUAACACGUGAGUAACCUGCCCUUGACUUCGGGAUAACUUCAGGAAACUGGGGCUAAUACCGGAUAGGAAUCCUUGCUGCAUGGUGGGGGUUGGAAAGCUUCGGCGGUUUUGGAUGGACUCGCGGCUUAUCAGCUUGUUGGUGGGGUAGUGGCUUACCAAGGCUUUGACGGGUAGCCGGCCUGAGAGGGCGACCGGCCACAUUGGGACUGAGAUACGGCCCAGACUCCUACGGGAGGCAGCAGUGGGGAAUAUUGCACAAUGGGCGGAAGCCUGAUGCAGCAACGCCGCGUGCGGGAUGACGGCCUUCGGGUUGGAAACCGAUUUCAGCAGGGGCGAAGCUUGUGGUGACGGUACCUGCAGAAGAAGCACCGGCUAACUACGUG